rnacentral:rRNA from 1 species
GACGAACGCUGGCGGCGUGCCUAAUACAUGCAAGUAGAACGCACAGGAUGCACCGUAGUUUACUACACCGUAUUCUGUGAGUUGCGAACGGGUGAGUAACGCGUAGGUAACCUGCCUGGUAGCGGGGGAUAACUAUUGGAAACGAUAGCUAAUACUGCAUAAGAACAUUUACUGCAUGGUAGAUGUUUAAAAGGUGCAAAUGCAUCACUACCAGAUGGACCUGCGUUGUAUUAGCUAGUAGGUGAGGUAACGGCUCACCUAGGCGACGAUACAUAGCCGACCUGAGAGGGUGAUCGGCCACACUGGGACUGAGACACGGCCCAGACUCCUACGGGAGGCAGCAGUAGGGAAUCUUCGGCAAUGGGGGGAACCCUGACCGAGCAACGCCGCGUGAGUGAAGAAGGUUUUCGGAUCGUAAAGCUCUGUUGUUAAGGAAGAACGAGUGUGAGAAUGGAAAG